GAUGAACGCUGGCGGCGUGCCUAAUACAUGCAAGUCGAGCGGAUGGAUUAAGAGCUUGCUCUUAUGAAGUUAGCGGCGGACGGGUGAGUAACACGUGGGUAACCUGCCCAUAAGACUGGGAUAACUCCGGGAAACCGGGGCUAAUACCGGAUAACAUUUUGAACCGCAUGGUUCGAAAUUGAAAGGCGGCUUCGGCUGUCACUUAUGGAUGGACCCGCGUCGCAUUAGCUAGUUGGUGAGGUAACGGCUCACCAAGGCAACGAUGCGUAGCCGACCUGAGAGGGUGAUCGGCCACCCUGGGACUGGGACACGGCCCAGACUCCUACGGGAGGCAGCAGUAGGGAAUCUUCCGCAAUGGACGAAAGUCUGACGUAGCAACGCCGCGUGAGUGAUGAAGGCUUUCGGGUCGUAAAACUCUGUUGUUAGGGAAGAACAAGUGCUAGUUGAAUAAGCUGGCACCUUGACGGUACCUAACCAGAAAGCCACGGCUAACUACGUGCCAGCCGCCGCCGUAA
rnacentral:rRNA from 1 species